GUAUAUAGUUUAUAGGCACAAGGCCCAAUGAUACAUUCUAGUACAUUUUUUGGGGUAUGUAAAAACAUAGACCUGGAGAUACAAGGAAAGCUGGCAUUGACGCACAGCAUUCCUCCCGACCGAGUUACCUCGGAAAGUAUUAUAUCCAGGUCUACAAAAAGUGCACAGGUGGAAAGAUAAAGAUGACGGGUGUGCACAUGCCCUCGAGAGGACCAGCUACAACCACAUCAGGUUUAUUCAAUAAUGAUCCUUCCGCAGGUUCACCUACGGAAA
rnacentral:misc_RNA from 1 species